rnacentral:rRNA from 1 species
GUCCCAAGGGUUUGGCUGUUCGCCAAUUAAAGCGGUACGCGAGCUGGGUUUAAAACGUCGUGAGACAGUUUGGUCCCUAUCUGCCGUGGGCGCAGGAGAUUUGAGAGGAUCUGUUCCUAGUACGAGAGGACCGGGAUGGACGAACCACUGGUGUUCCUGUUGUGGCGCCAGCCGCAUAGCAGGGUAGCUACGUUCGGAAAGGAUAACCGCUGAAAGCAUCUAAGCGGGAAGCCCACCUCAAGACGAGAUCUCCCUAGACUUUUGUCUCUUAAGGUCCGUUGGAGACUACAACGUUGAUAGGCCGGAUGUGUAAGCAGGGUAACCUGUUCAGCUAACCGGUACUAAUUGACCGUGAGGCUUGACCGUAU